rnacentral:rRNA from 1 species
CAGCCGCCGCGGGAAUACGUAGGGUGCAAGCGUUAAUCGGAAUUACUGGGCGUAAAGCGUGCGCAGGCGGUUUGUUAAGACAGAUGUGAAAUCCCCGGGCUCAACCUGGGAACUGCAUUUGUGACUGGCAAGCUAGAGUAUGGCAGAGGGGGGUGGAAUUCCGCGUGUAGCAGUGAAAUGCGUAGAUAUGCGGAGGAACACCGAUGGCGAAGGCAGCCCCCUGGGCCAAUACUGACGCUCAUGCACGAAAGCGUGGGGAGCAAACAGGAUUAGAUACCCCCGUAGUCCCUGUCUCUUAUAC